rnacentral:rRNA from 1 species
AAUCAACGCUGGCGGCGUGCCUCAGACAUGCAAGUCGAACGAUUAAGACUUCCUUCGGGAAGUGCAUAAAGUGGCGCACGGGUGAGUAACACGUAAGUAAUCUACCCUCGAGUGGGGAAUAACGUUCGGAAACGGACGCUAAUACCGCAUAAUGCAGCGGCAUCGCAAGAUGACAGUUGUUAAAGGAGUAAUUCGCUUGAGGAGGAGCUUGCGGCAGAUUAGCUAGUUGGUAAGGUAACGGCUUACCAAGGCUACGAUCUGUAUCCGGUCUAAGAGGACGGUCGGACACACUGACACUGAAUAACGGGUCAGACUCCUACGGGAGGCAGCAGUCGGGAAUUUUGGGCAAUGGGCGAAAGCCUGACCCAGCAACGCCGCGUGAAGGAUGAAGUAUUUCGGUAUGUAAACUUCGAAAGAAUGGGAAGAAUAAAUGACGGUACCAUUUAUAAGCUCCGGCUAACUACGUGCCAGCCGCCGCAGUAAAAC